ACUCCUCCUAGCAGAAACAGAAAGAAACAACACUCUUGUUAUUUUCGCAUUCUAUUUACUCUAUCUAUCUGUUUCUCUUUCCAACUCUUUUCCCAUUUUCGCAAACUCGCGCGUGUGACUCACUCUCCUGCUGCAUGCUCUUUCUCUCACGCUUCCUCAAUUCAUGCUCCCUUCAGUAUGGUGGAGGACCAGCAUUGUCUCAUGAUAACCACUGUCGGGAUUGCCUGAUUCAUGGGGCUAUGACAGUGGUGUCAGCUGACACCUAUCGGGAUAGAAGAGAAUCGAUGAAGUCACUUGCAUGGGAUAUUCUAGAUGGAAACUGCCUAGAUGGAAAGUAUUAUAUAUCCAGACCAUGGUAUGAUAACAUUUUGUGUCAUCUCCUGCCAUUCAUACUACCACAAAAAGGGGACUGAAAGGGGGAAGGUUGCUUAACCAUCGUAUCUGAGAAUGAUUGGAAAUGCUUCUGUGAAGAAUGGGGUGGUAUUGAGACCAAAGGAAUGUCAGCAACAAUUGAUCAUGUUAAUGAUUCAGAGAAUGUAUUGACUAGAUCUAGUGAGGAGAUGCUAGUAUGCAAGGAUCAGUUGAGCACAACAAAUAAAAUGAAUUUUGAAAAUGGGACUGGACAAAUUUUAAUUAAGACAUGUCCUGAGGAGGUCAAUUUUGUUCAGACUCUUUCACUUCAAUUUCUCUUGAUGCGGUGAAUCGAAGGACUUCAUAUUCACUUUAUGCCCGGUAAACUACUUGCAAUUGGUGUUAUAUUUAUAUUUGCUUAUCCAAAAAAACUGGUGUUAUAUUUUUUCACUUGACUUUGUUGUGAGCAUGUUGUGAAUUUGCAGAGGAUUGAGUCUUUUAUGAGAUAAUAUAAUU